rnacentral:rRNA from 1 species
UACGGGGGGAGCAAGCGUUGUUCGGAUUUACUGGGCGUAAAGGGCGCGUAGGCGGUCAGCACAAGUCAGUUGUGAAAUCUCCGGGCUUAACUCGGAAAGGUCAACUGAUACUGUGCGACUAGAGUGCGGAAGGGGCAACUGGAAUUCUCGGUGUAGCGGUGAAAUGCGUAGAUAUCGGGAGGAACACCAGUGGCGAAGGCGACUACCUGGCCUGUUCUUGACGCUGAGGCGCGAAAGCUAGGGGAGCAAACGGG